rnacentral:rRNA from 1 species
AUACGUAGGGAGCGAGCGUUGUCCGGCAUUACUGGGCGUAAAGGGUGCGUAGGCGGGACUGCAAGUGCGAUGUGGAAUGCCGGGGCUCAACCCCGGAGCUGGAUUUUACACUGUGGUUUUUGAGUGCGGUAGUGGGAAGCGGCAUUCCUAGUGUAGCGGUGAAAUGCGUAGAUAUUAGGAAGAACACCGGUGGCGAAGGCGGCUAUCCGGACAGUAACUGACGCUGAGGCGCGAAAGCGUGGGGAGCAAACAGGAUUAGAUGCCCUGGUAGGCCACGCCGUAAACGAUGAAUACUAGGUGUAGGGGGUAUCGACUCCCUCUGUGCCGCAGUUAACACAAUAAGUAUUCCGCCUGGGGAGUACGGCCGCAAGGUUGAAACUCAAAUGAAUUGACGGGG